rnacentral:rRNA from 1 species
UACGUAGGGAGCAAGCGUUGUCCGGAAUCAUUGGGCGUAAAGCGCGCGUAGGCGGCCUCAUAAGUCCGUUGUGAAAGUCAAAGGCUCAACCUUUGAAUGCCGAUGGAUACUGUGAGGCUAGAGUCCGGAAGAGGCGAGUGGAAUUCCUGGUGUAGCGGUGAAAUGCGCAGAUAUCAGGAGGAACACCGGUGGCGAAGGCGGCUCACUGGCCCGGUACUGACGCUGAGGUGCGAAAGCGUGGGGAGCAAACAGG